UUCAAUUUAUUCCCCUUGCCAGGCAAUUAGAUGACUUUUGUUAGCAUGUGUUGUUCACUUGUUCCAAUGUCAACAUUCAUUCCAGUCUGAAUUCAUACUGGUCUGAGAGUCAGUCGGCUUGGUCCAGCAGGCGGAAUGACUUGAGACCUCAUGUAAACAUCUAUUAUAUAUAAUAUAAUGACCAAAACGAAAUGGUCCCGGUUAAUUGACUUCGUUCCAGUCUCACGUGAACUGGACCUAAUAAAAUCCUUCAAAAGUUGGCUAAAUUUUUCCAAAACUUCAGUCAAUAUAGUUUUGUAGUACACCAAUCCCAAGAUCUGUC